AUUGAACGCUGGCGGCAGGCCUAACACAUGCCAGUCGAGCGGAUGAAGGGAGCUUGCUCCUGGAUUCAGCGGCGGACGGGUGAGUAAUGCCUAGGAAUCUGCCUGGUAGUGGGGGAUAACGUCCGGAAACGAGCGCUAAUACCGCAUACGUCCUGAGGGAGAAAGUGGGGGAUCUUCGGACCUCACGCUAUCAGAUGAGCCUAGGUCGGAUUAGCUAGUUGGUGGGGUAAAGGCCUACCAAGGCGACGAUCCGUAACUGGUCUGAGAGGAUGAUCAGUCACACUGGAACUGAGAAACGGUCCAGACUCCUACGGGAGGCAGCAGUGGGGAAUAUUGGACAAUGGGCGAAAGCCUGAUCCAGCCAUGCCGCGUGUGUGAAGAAGGUCUUCGGAUUGUAAAGCACUUUAAGUUGGGAGGAAGGGCAGUAAGUUAAUACCUUGCUGUUUUGACGUUACCAACAGAAUAAGCACCGGCUAACUUCGUG
rnacentral:rRNA from 1 species